GAAAUGCGAUAAGUAGUGUGAAUUGCAGAAUUCAGUAAAUCAUCGAAUCUUUAAACGCACAUUGCGCCCCUUGGUAUUCCGUGGGGCAUGCCUGUUCGAGCGUUAUCUACACCCUCAAGCUCUACUUAGUGUUGGGCGUCUGUCCCGCCUUCACGCGUGGACUCGCCCUAAAUGUAUUAGCAGUGGUCCUUGCCCCCUCCCGCGCAGCACAUUGCGCUUCUCGAGGCUGCGGCGGCCCGCGUCCAACAAGCUAAACCCCCCCGUCUUUAACCUCGGAUCAGGUAGGAAUACCCGCUGAACUUAAGC
rnacentral:misc_RNA from 1 species